CAAGGAUGGUGGGUCGCGGCCUCCGGGGGUUAAACCCUGGGUGGUAGAGGUAACACUCUCACGCGCCACAUGCCUGAAUCCUAUGGCUCGUAGAUGAUAGAUAGUAGUCGAGUGGGGGUAACCUGCCGCUGGAAUUAUCAAAACUCUUUUUUUGCAUCUAGCAUUACCUGUUCUGAUACAAACAUGCCUGAGAGUCGCUGUAGAUGCUCCUCUUGGCUCUGGCAUCGAUGAAGAACGCAGCGAAAUGCGAUAAGUAGUGUGAAUUGCAGAAUUCAGUGAAUCAUCGAAUCUUUGAACGCACAUUGCGCCCCUUGGUAUUCCAUGGGGCAUGCCUGUUCGAGCGUCAUCUACACCCUCAAGCUCUGCUUGGUGUUGGGCGUCUGUCCCGCCUCCGCGCGUGGACUCGCCCCAAAUGCAUUGGCAGCGGUCCUUGAUGCGGCUGUAGAUGCUCGCGUGAGAUGCUCAGGUGCGCGGGCCGCGUCCACGAAGCAACAUUAUGCUCGUGAUAGUCGCUGUCGCUGGGGAUACCCGCUGAACUUAAGCAUAUCAAUAAGGCGGAGGAAAUGCUCGCUGAUAGUGCUCGC
rnacentral:rRNA from 1 species